CCGGCGCACGGGUGAGUAACGCGUAUGCAACUUACCUAUCAGAGGGGGAUAACCCGGCGAAAGUCGGACUAAUACCGCAUGAAGCAGGGGCCCCGCAUGGGGAUAUUUGCUAAAGAUUCAUCGCUGAUAGAUAGGCAUGCGUUCCAUUAGGCAGUUGGCGGGGUAACGGCCCACCAAACCGACGAUGGAUAGGGGCUCUGAGAGGAAGGUCCCCCACAUUGGUACUGAGACACGGACCAA
rnacentral:rRNA from 1 species